CUACCCUUGGAUAUCUUCACGAUUUCAACAAUAUCAUCCAGCUUCAAUUUACGGUCGGACAAAAUCAAUUAAUGGAAAACAUCGAUGCAUCGAGCAUCGUGUUGAGUGAUGCAUCGAUGUUUUGCAAAACAUCGGUAGUUUAAUUUCAUAACAUUGCGUAUUUGUCUUCUGUAAGCAGCAACACAGCAAUGCCAAAGCAACCCGUUGUGUGUUUGGGAAGGUAUGAAGAGUACUGUUCAGUCACAGACAUAUACCUUAUUAAUAUUACAGAAUAUACAGUACAACCUCAUACACAAAUACUCAUAAAUACAAUUGUCCAUGUCACUUCAUGUGAAUGAAUAUGACUACACGAAAAUUACAUUAGCAACUAAGAAUAGACAAUUGCACUUGUAAACUCGAACCCACCAAAAAGGAUGAAGCAAUAAACUAUUUACUUUAUUGCUGCCAAGUA